GUAUCAGAACAAUUAGAAUCUCCACUCAAUUCAAAUUCCAACCUAACCUAUCUUAAUCACCUGGGAGCUGUAUUCAUCUGGUAGCAGAGAAGUAUCCUAUUUGCAUUUCUUCUUCAAGUGCAAACAAUUGCGUAAUCAAUCUGCUGAAAUUCCAAAGGUUGAAGUUACUAGAAUAUCAGUGCUAAAACAAUAAGGAAACUUUGAUGCACUUGCAUAACGCUAUUGCUAGGUUUUGGUUGAAAUCACUAGAAUAUCAGAUGGAGGGUUCAGAUAUAACAUCCACAAACUUGCCCUUCAACAUUCCUUAACAAAUAUUCCAUUACUGGAAAUUCACACAGAAGUAUAAUUGCUUCAGCGACAGGUGAUAGCGAAUAGACUAUGAGCACUCGUCUUGUUUAGGGCAAAUUUCCAAGAUAUAGUUCUUCAGAGUGCGAAGCCUUGAUUCUCUCCAUCUCAUUACUUGUUAGUGAUGCGGUAAUUAUGUUUGAUAAAAGUCCCAUGAAUGGUUAAAGUGAGCUUUGUGUGGGAUGCAGUGCAGCAAUUUGGCGGUUGCCACUAGUGGGUGAUUGAAUUCACGAUGGAGAAAGAGUUGCUUGCUCGAUGUUUUUCAUUAAUUUGAGGUAUUCUCGAUGACGGUGAUCGAAGAAAGAAGAAAAGAAAAACAUUUUCUUGAGGAUAAAUGUGUGGGCGAUUAAAUUUUUAGAUAAAAUUUAUUUUUGUAUUUAAAUUAAAUAAAAUAUUAAUAUGCAAUAUUUUUAUUAAAUAUUAUAUGUGUAUUAAUUUAUUAUUAUGUAC